GCCACACUGGAACUGAGACACGGUCCAGACUCCUACGGGAGGCAGCAGUAGGGAAUCUUCCGCAAUGGACGAAAGUCUGACGGAGCAACGCCGCGUGAGUGAUGAAGGUUUUCGGAUCGUAAAGCUCUGUUGUUAGGGAAGAACAAGUACCGUUCGAAUAGGGCGGUACCUUGACGGUGCCUAACCAGAAAGCCACGGCUAACUACGUGCCAGCAGCCGCGGUAAUACGUAGGUGGCAAGCGUUGUCCGGAAUUAUUGGGCGUAAAGGGCUCGCAGGCGGUUUCUUAAGUCUGAUGUGAAAGCCCCCGGCUCAACCGGGGAGGGUCAUUGGAAACUGGGGAACUUGAGUGCAGAAGAGGAGAGUGGAAUUCCACGUGUAGCGGUGAAAUGCGUAGAGAUGUGGAGGAACACCAGUGGCGAGGGCGACUCUCUGGUCUGUAACUGACGCUGAGGAGCGAAAGCGUGGGGAGCGAACAGGAUUAGAUACCCUGGUAGUCCACGCCGUAAACGAUGAGUGCUAAGUGUUAGGGGGUUUCCGCCCCUUAGUGCUGCAGCUAACGCAUUAAGCACUCCGCCUGGGGAGUACGGUCGCAAGACUGAAACUCAAAGGAAUUGACGGGGGCCCGCACAAGCGGUGGAGCAUAUGGUUUAAUUCGAAGCAACGCGAAGAACCUUACCAGGUCUUGACAUCCUCUGACAAUCCUAGAGAUAGGACGUCCCCUUCGGGGGCAGAGUGACAGGUGGUGCAUGGUUGUCGUCAGCUCGUGUCGUGAGAUGUUGGGUUAAGUCCCGCAACGAGCGCAACCCUUGAUCUUAGUUGCCAGCAUUCAGUUGGGCACUCUAAGGUGACUGCCGGUGACAAACCGGAGGAAGGUGGGGAUGACGUCAAAUCAUCAUGCCCCUUAUGACCUGGGCUACACACGUGCUACAAUGGACAGAACAAAGGGCAGCGAAACCGCGAGGUUAAGCCAAUCCCACAAAUCUGUUCUCAGUUCGGAUCGCAGUCUGCAACUCGACUGCGUGAAGCUGGAAUCGCUAGUAAUCGCGGAUCAGCAUGCCGCGGUGAAUACGUUCCCGGGCCUUGUACACACCGCCCGUCACACCACGAGAGUUUGUAACACCCGAAGUCGGUGAGGUAACCUUUUAGGAGCCAGCCGCCGAAGGUGGGACAGAUGAUUGGGGUGAAGUCGUAACAAGGUA
rnacentral:rRNA from 1 species